CCUGCCUGAGGUAACGGGAGGAGAGAGACGCUGCGCCGGCUGCUCCGAGAUCCGACAUAGCUGUCGCCGGGGCUGAAGACUGCGGUGCCACGCUCGUCCCCGCAGCUGCCGUGGUGAUACCAAUUCAGGUUCUGCUUUCAGCAGAAGCACUUAUGGACCCUGCACCGGGCUCUGUGACCUUUGAGGAAGUGGCUGUGUACUUUUCCCAGGAGGAAUGGAG